GAGGGUAUAGCUCAAAGUGGUAGAGCACAUGCUUAGUAUGCACAAGGUCCUGGGUUCAAUCCCCAGUACCUUCU
rnacentral:tRNA from 1 species